GGCUCAGAUUGAACGCUGGCGGCAGGCCUAACACAUGCAAGUCGAGCGGUAGAGAGAAGCUUGCUUCUCUUGAGAGCGGCGGACGGGUGAGUAAUGCCUAGGAAUCUGCCUGGUAGUGGGGGAUAACGUUCGGAAACGGACGCUAAUACCGCAUACGUCCUACGGGAGAAAGCAGGGGACCUUCGGGCCUUGCGCUAUCAGAUGAGCCUAGGUCGGAUUAGCUAGUUGGUGGGGUAAUGGCUCACCAAGGCGACGAUCCGUAACUGGUCUGAGAGGAUGAUCAGUCACACUGGAACUGAGACACGGUCCAGACUCCUACGGGAGGCAGCAGUGGGGAAUAUUGGACAAUGGGCGAAAGCCUGAUCCAGCCAUGCCGCGUGUGUGAAGAAGGUCUUCGGAUUGUAAAGCACUUUAAGUUGGGAGGAAGGGUUGUAGAUUAAUACUCUGCAAUUUUGACGUUACCGACAGAAUAAGCACCGGCUAACUCUGUGCCAGCA
rnacentral:rRNA from 1 species